GACGAACGCUGGCGGCGUGCUUAACACAUGCAAGUCGAGCAGUAAGGCCCUUUCGGGGGUACACGAGCGGCGAACGGGCGAGUAACACGUGGGUGACCUGCCCUCAGCUCUGGGAUAAGCCUGGGAAACCGGGUCUAAUACCGGAUAUGACUCCAUGACGCAUGUUGUGGGGUGGAAAGCCUUGUGCGGCUGAGGAUGGGCCCGCGGCCUAUCAGCUUGUUGGUGGGGUGANGGCCUACCAAGGCGACGACGGGUAGCCGGCCUGAGAGGGCGACCGGCCACACUGGGACUGAGACACGGCCCAGACUCCUACGGGAGGCAGCAGUGGGGAAUCUUGCGCAAUGGGCGAAAGCCUGACGCAGCGACGCCGCGUGAGGGAUGACGGCC
rnacentral:rRNA from 1 species